AUUGAACGCUGGCGGCAUGCUUUACACAUGCAAGUCGAACGGUAACAGGUUAAGCUGACGAGUGGCGAACGGGUGAGUAAUGCAUCGGAACGUGCCCGAUCGUGGGGGAUAACACUUCGAAAGAAGUGCUAAUACCGCAUACGAUCUGAGGAUGAAAGCGGGGGACCGUAAGGCCUCGCGCGAUCGGAGCGGCCGAUGUCAGAUUAGGUAGUUGGUGGGGUAAAGGCUCACCAAGCCGACGAUCUGUAGCUGGUCUGAGAGGACGACCAGCCACGCUGGGACUGAGACACGGCCCAGACUCCUACGGGAGGCAGCAGUGGGGAAUUUUGGACAAUGGGCGCAAGCCUGAUCCAGCAAUGCCGCGUGCAGGAAGAAGGCCUUCGGGUUGUAAACUGCUUUUGUACGGAGCGAAAAGGCUCCCUCUAAUACAGGGGGCUCAUGACGGUACCGUAAGAAUAAGCACCGGCUAACUACGUGCCAGCCGCCGCCGUAAUAC
rnacentral:rRNA from 1 species